rnacentral:tRNA from 1 species
CGUAAGGUGGAGUAAUGGUAACUUAGCGGGCUCAUUACCCGAAGCUGUCGGUUCAAGUCCGACCCUUGCAA